UCUCCUGUGGCACAACUGGUCAGUGCGCCUGCCUGUGAACCAGAAGGUUGGUGGUUUGAUCUCACCCAGGGGAU